rnacentral:tRNA from 1 species
GUCACGAAUCGAAUAAAAGGUAGUUCGCAGGUUUCAGUUGUCGCUCAUGCCCUUUAACCUGAAGUCUUGGUUCAAAUCCAGCUCGUGACA